ACGUAGGUGGCAAGCGUUGUCCGGAAUUACUGGGUGUAAAGGGAGCGUAGGCGGGCAGGCAAGUCAGGCGUGAAAUAUAUCGGCUCAACCGGUAUCUGCGCUUGAAACUGCAGGUCUUGAGUGAAGUAGAGGUUGGCGGAAUUCCUAGUGUAGCGGUGAAAUGCGUAGAUAUUAGGAGGAACACCAGUGGCGAAGGCGGCCAACUGGGCUUUUACUGACGCUGAGGCUCGAAAGUGUGGGGAGCAAACAG
rnacentral:rRNA from 1 species